ACCGGCCUUAAGAUCCAAGGCGGCAGCCUUCACAUCGUGAAUGAAUCCGGCCUUGACGGCUGCGGUCUUCGCCAAGAAGAGUUUCUUCACGAAGAGACCCUGGGAAGAGCCGACCAUCACCACUGCCUAAAAAGAUGCACUUUAUCCUCAUAUGUCAAAACACUUGAUUUGAAGUUGAACUACUGACACUGAAACUUACCACCAAGAGGAGUAUCCGGAAUACAGACAUGUUGAGGAAAAUAAUAAAGAGAACCUUCGACGUAUUUGGAACUUUCUCGUAUUUUCUACCCCUGGGCGCUCACUGUAGGAAUUUCGCACUCUGCAUACCCUCUGCUCACUUUCACCCUUUAUAAUAUUCACCAUUGAGUUGCUGAUGACAAGACUGACAGGGCGGCACGGAUUUUAGUCAUCUUUAUUUAUGGGAAAACUGGGAUAUGCUUUGACACCUGCUGCGCUGCUUCGAAUUUGGACAUAUCGUUCAGGGUGAGAAGAAAUGCUGUCAGGAUGGAUACUCCACCAAGUACGAACCACAUGGAUAAUUCAAGAAGGACCUUCAAUUAUUAUAGGAUGUCUUUUUUUUAGGUUAUGCACGCAAUAUACGUAAC